GCCUACGGCCACAUGCAGCAAAAAAUGCCCUGUCCCGUCCGAUCCCGGAAGUCAAACUGCUGCGAGCGUGGUCAGUACUGUGGUGGGGGACCACACGGAUUACCUUUUUUGAGGAUA
rfam:Sphaeroforma arctica JP610 cont1.7530, whole genome shotgun sequence.